AUGUACUUCCUGUGCGUCGAUUUCCCACCAUCACAAUGAUUUCAGUGUCCUAGGCUGAGAGCUGGCAGAGAACUUAACCAUUAUUAGAUGCUGGUGUGCCUGAAAUAGGUUACAGGUUUAUGCAGACAUUGACUCUCAGGGUCCUGACCCUUGGGGUGGCUGGUGGAACCAGGAGGGUGGGACCCCUUGAGCCAGCUGCCUGUGGCAAGAAGCAGCCUCAUUCAUUGUAAAAUUAUUUUUUAUAGAUUUUAUUUAUUUAUUAGAGAGAAAGAGAGAGAGAGAAUGAGCAGGGAGAGGGGCAGAGGGAAGAGGGAGAAGCAGGUACCCCGCUGGGCAGGGAGCCCGACACACGGCUCCAUCCCAGGACCCCAGGAUCAUGACCCGAGCCGAAGGCAGAUGUUCAACCGACUGAGCCACCCAGGCACCCCUCAUUGUAAAAUUAAUAUUUUCUAUACAGGUAUACCCCGCUUUUCAAAAGUUCAUGUUAUGCCACUCAGCUUUCUUGUGAGACCUGCGCUAGUACCUGUUUUCGCCCACUGAAGGAAAUCCAAGGAGGAUUUGGGCUUUUAUGGAGAAGGGCAAGAAGCGGACAUCGUGUUCAGCCUUGAUUUUGCAGAGAGCCUUGGUGGAGGCAACGCACACCCCAGGCAGAGAGAGCAGCCCUGCCUCACUCCUUCCCCGGGAACGACACUCAGCAUCCCGGCAUCAAGCUGCCACGGCUUUGAACCGUGUCUAUCUGCCUUACGGCAAAUCAGUUUUGCGGCAAAGACGCUUACGGCGGAGAUGCUCCUGGCGAAAUACCAGACGUGCCAAGAAAUCCUGCCCGAAGGAGGCUGCAACACGCCGCUUGGCUUGGCUUUCAUCUUGCCCAGCUGCUUACCAAAGCCUUCCUCUUUCCUCUUCGAGGCCUUUAGUUGGCAGGGCUGAGCCCGGAGAACUACCUCAGGAGAUGGCUGAAGCCUGGCUCGAAUCCGGCCUCCCCAGCUCCUCCCUGCCCGUCCCUGAAGUCGGCCCCAUCCUGAGCUGGAGGACCCGCAACCCAGCACCAGGUGGGGGCUGCUUCUCAGCUGUGGACUGAGGGAAUGGAGCCUUGUGGCCUAUGUUCGGGAAUUCACCGAAGGGGCAUCAUCCCCGUGGUAGACGGACUCUGAUUUAUUGGAACCUACAGGUGGCUAGCCAAUCCAGAGGGUGCUCAUUUGAGAAUGAAGACUUCCCACGUGAUUUCUGAUCUUGUCACAGUUUGAUGAUUACUACAUCAACAUUUCUACUUUCCUCGGGUUUUUAUAAAAUUGCCUCCCUAAUCCCUGCCUGAGACACAACAAUAUUGAAAUUAGGCCAAUUAAUAACCAUGUGUUCAAGUCUCUCACUUUAAGUCCGAAGCUAGAAAUGGUUAAGCUUAGUGAAGAAAGCAUGUCAAAAGUGGAGAUAGGCCCAAAGCGAGGCUUCUGGCACCAAACAGUUAAGCUAAGUUGUGAAUGCAAAACAAAAGUUCUUGAAGGAAAUUCAAGGUGCUACUCCAGGGAAUGCACAAAUGAUAAGAAAGUGAAAUAGCCUUAUUGCUGAUACAGAGAAAGUUUUAGUAUUCUGGAUAGAGGAUCAAACCAGCCACACCAUUCCCUUAUGCCAAAGCCUAAUCCAGAGCACAGUCCUAACCCUCUUCAAUUCUACGAAGGCUGGAUGUGAUGAGGAAGCUAUAGAAGAAAAGUUUGAAGCUAGCAGAGGUUGGUGCAUGAGGUGUCCAGGAAAGAAGCUAUCUCUGUAACAUUAAAAGGCAAGGUAAAGCAGCUAGUGCUGAUAAAGAAGCUGCAGCGAGUUAUCUGGAAGCUAUAGCUCAGAUUAGUCAUGAAGGUGGCUACACUAAACAGACUUUCAGUGUAGAUGAAACAAUCUUCUAUUGGAAGAAGCUGUCACCUAGGACUUUCAUAGCUACAGAAGAGAAGUCAAUGCCUGGCCUCAAAGCUUCAAAGGACAGACUGACUUUCUUGUUAGGGUCAAAUGCGGCUGGUGACUUUGAGUUAAAGUCAUUGCUCUUGGAACAUUCUGAAAAUCCUGGGGCCCUUAGGAAUUAGGCCCAGUCUACUCUGCCUGUGCUCAAACAAGGGAACAACAAAGCCCGGGUGAUAGCGUAUCUGUUUGCAACCUGAUUUAUGAAUAUUUUAAGAAUAUUUGAGCCCUACUGUUGAGAAAAAAGAUUCCUUUCAAAAUCUUACUGCUCUUGACAAUGCACCUGGUCACCCAAGAGCUCAGAUGGAGAUGUACAACGAGAUGACUGCUGUUUUCAUGCCUGCUGACACAGCAUCCGUUCUGCAGCCCACGGAUCAAGGAAUAAUUUCAACUCAAGUCUCAUUUAAGAAACACAUUGUAAAACUAUAGCUGCCACACAUAGUGAUUCCUCUGAUGGAUUUGGGCAACAUCAACUGAAAACCUCUGGAAAGAACUCGCCAUUCUAGAUGCCAUUAAUAAUAGAAAUCAAUAAAAAUAACAAUAAAGAAGUCAAAAUAUCCACAUUAACAAGAGUUUGGAAGAAGCUGAUUUUGACCCUCAUGGAUGACAUUUGAGGAGAGACUUCAGUGGAGGAGGUAACUGCAGAUUGGUGGAAAAGCUAGAGAACAAGAAUGAGAAGCGGAGCCUGAAGAUGGGACUGAAUUGCUACAGUCUCAUGAUAAAACUGUAACAGAUGAGGAGUUGCUUCCUGAGAAGAAGAAAAAAGGGCUUUCUUGAGAUGGAAUCUGUUCCUGGUGCAGGGACUAUGAGGAUGGUCGCAACGACAACAGAGGAUUUAGAGUAUCACGUAAACUUAGUUGAUAAAGCAGAAGCAGAGUUUGAGAGGAUUGACUCCAAUUUUGAGAAGUUCAUGGUGGGUGAAAUGCUAUCAGACAGCAUCGCAUGCUACAGAGAAAUCGUUUGUGGGAAGAAGAGUCCAUGGAUGCAGCAGACGUCAUUGUCUUAUUUUAAAAAAAUUGUCACAGCCACCCCAGCCUUCAGCAACCACCACCUGAUCAGUCAGCAGCCAUCAACAUCGAGGCAAGACCCUCCAGCAGCAAAAAGAUGACUCGCUGGAAGCUCAAAUGACAGUAUUUUUUAGCAAGAAAGUAUUUUUAAAUUAAGAUAUCUGCAGUUUUUUUUCCACAUAGUGCUAUUGCAUACUCAAUAAACUACAGUACAGUGGAAACAUAACCUUUAUAUGCACAGAGCAACCAAAACAUUCAACUCACUUUAUUGUGAUACUCGCUUUAUUGCGGUGGUCUGGAACCAAACCUGCAGUAUCUCUGAUGUAUGCCUGCAUUUUGACUUAACAAUAUUUCAACUUUGGAUGAGUAUAUUGGGAUGUAACCCAUGGUAGGUCAAGGAAAUUCUGUAAUGAUUCAGAAAGAUAUUCACAAAAUGUUAAAUGUAACAAGUUACAACACUGUGUUUACAGUAUGAUGUUUUAAAAAAGUUACUGUAUAAAUAUUGGAUAGCUAUAUGCAAUAAUGUCAGCAGUUGGUGGUUUAUCUGUAAAAGGUGUGAUUCUGGCACAUUUUAAGCUUUCUGUUUGUGUUUUUGGUAUUUUAUAAAAUGAAUAUAUGUCAAGUUUAUUUUAGGAAUAAAAAGGUUAUCAUAAAACAAAACAUAAUCCACUGUCCU